GGCACUAAAAUUGGAUUCCUGGAGAAAUUUAGCAGCAGCAGUAUGGAGAAAUUUUAGCUUUCUUGGCACUAAAAUUGAGGUUUUAAAAUGUUUCGAUGAUUAAUGUACUGUUGGUGCAUGAGCUAUCAACUUAAUUAGACGUUUAAUAAAUGGUUGAGGGAAAGCAGAAAGACGUUCCCAGAAAAAUAAGAUCCCUAGUAUUGGUCGAGUGGAGAAUGUUUAUUUAGGCUCUUGUUAGUAACAAUUCUUUCCGGGCUUGUGUCUUAAUUGUUUUAUGGAUAUUUUGUUCACUUGUAUCCUUAUUAGAUUAUUUAUGGGUUUGACUCAACUCGCCAACUUUUCGGCGAGAAUGGAAUGCAAAAUUUCUUCAUAUAGGCU
rnacentral:lncRNA from 1 species